UACGGAGGAUCCGAGCGUUAUCCGGAAUCAUUGGGUUUAAAGGGUCCGUAGGCGGGCCGUUAAGUCAGGGGUGAAAGUCUGCGGCUCAACCGUAGGACCGCCCUUGAUACUGGCGGCCUGGAGUCGUGGUGAAGUGGCCGGAAUAUGUGGUGUAGCGGUGAAAUGCAUAGAUAUCACAUGGAAUACCGAUUGCGAAGGCAGGCCACUAACCAUGUACUGACGCUGAUGGACGAGAGCGUGGGUAGCGAACAGG
rnacentral:rRNA from 1 species